GUGCCUCUGUGGCAUGCGCCAGUGGCCGGGUAUAAUCCUUGAGCCUAAUUUCUUACCCCGGGGAUCGGGAUUUGAAACUGGUGUGCAGUACCGCUUUUGACGGGAAGCCUUAAGGUUUCAGCGAGAGCCCCACUUGAACCUUCGGUUCAAGGUCGAAAGCCACAGCGGUGCGAUGGAGUGCAC
rnacentral:other from 1 species